CCUGGACCCGGCAGCGAUCCCGGAUGGCGCUUCCGGCCCCCGAUCCGCCGGACAACG
rnacentral:ncRNA from 1 species